rnacentral:rRNA from 1 species
AUGGUUCAAAAGUGAAAGACGGUCUUGCUGUCACUUAUAGAUGGAUCCGCGCUGCAUUAGCUAGUUGGUAAGGUAACGGCUUACCAAGGCAACGAUGCAUAGCCGACCUGAGAGGGUGAUCGGCCACACUGGAACUGAGACACGGUCCAGACUCCUACGGGAGGCAGCAGUAGGGAAUCUUCCGCAAUGGGCGAAAGCCUGACGGAGCAACGCCGCGUGAGUGAUGAAGGUCUUCGGAUCGUAAAACUCUGUUAUUAGGGAAGAACAUAUGUGUAAGUAACUGUGCACAUCUUGACGGUACCUAAUCAGAAAGCCACGGCUAACUACGUGCCAGCAGCCGCGGUAAUACGUAGGUGGCAAGCGUUAUCCGGAAUUAUUGGGCGUAAAGCGCGCGUAGGCGGUUUUUUAAGUCUGAUGUGAAAGCCCACGGCUCAACCGUGGAGGGUCAUUGGAAACUGGAAAACUUGAGUGCAGAAGAGGAAAGUGGAAUUCCAUGUGUAGCGGUGAAAUGCGCAGAGAUAUGGAGGAACACCAGUGGCGAAGGCGACUUUCUGGUCUGUAACUGACGCUGAUGUGCGAAAGCGUGGGGAUCAAACAGGAUUAGAUACCCUGGUAGUCCACGCCGUAAACGAUGAGUGCUAAGUGUUAGGGGGUUUCCGCCCCUUAGUGCUGCAGCUAA